ensembl:lncRNA CPEB2-DT CPEB2 divergent transcript
AUUUUGCUUCUUGUCUUGGCUGACGUCAUCAUCACACAACCAGUUUCUCAAGCUGAAACAUGAGUCAUCCUCUUCCUUCAUCUCUCUCACCCUCCAAAAACAAUUGUCAACCAUGCUCUGUCAAUUAUACUGCAGAAACGUUACUCAAAUGUAAUUCCUUCAUGUAUCUCCGCAUUCCCUUGCCUUUCACAUUCCUGGAACACAAGUGCCCAAUAAGUAUUUGUUGAUUAGUAAUUGCCCAAUGAAUGCUGUAAGAAGAAAAGAUGAAGAAAAGGAGAAAACAAGGUAAGGAAAGGAAGGAGGGAGAUGGAAGGAAGGAAAGAGGUAGAUGUUUCCAAAGCAUGCUUUACAAAGACAUGAGCCAUUUUGUGGAUAACUGUAGCAUUGUUACCUUAUGUUUACUGGAGAAAAAAUAAAAUGAAUAAUCAUAAUAACAAUGACAAAAAAGUUAUUUUCCUUCCCAAUAUUUUUUCCUUGACAAUACCAAACUAAAAGUUUCACUCUGGUUAUUACGAUCUCUAUUCUGGUUAUUAUGCCAUACAAAGAUGAACUCAUUGACAAAGAAAAAUAUCAAGAAUCUUCCCCUGAUGACAAAGUGUAGCCCCGAAACAUAAUAGAAGGUCUGUGUUACCCUUUGUGGCAUCCAGGGGAUUUAUCAUCCCACUCCAAUACCCCCACCUAGGAGAGAACCUGUCAGCCUCUCCAGUAAUUUCUGCCACGAUGCUCACUGGGCCCUUACGUAGACUGACUGACUUCUCUAUUGCUACUUAUCUUGUAUCUUUAAGGCCAUGUGAACUCGAUUGAAUUACAAGUCUUUGUAGGCAGUUGCUAUGCCUUAUAUGUUCUUUAAUUUUCCUAGUUCUUAUUGAUUGAUUUAUGUAUUCAGAAACUCUCUGUUGAGUGCCUGCUCUGUACCAGACACUGUGCAAGGCACUAUGGGUAUAACUGUGAAAAGAACAGAAAAUAUAUCCAUUAUUCUGUACAUCCUCACAGAGGCUGUAAAUAAAUACUGUUGACAUUAGUUAUGAUAAUUCCCAACCCUAAUUAUCUGGGCAGAGUCAUAAACAGUGAGACUGUAGGCUGAAACUGACCUACUAAAUUGGAAUCCUACUUGCUGCAAUAUGACCUUGCCGGGCUGGUCAUCGGUGGAGCCUUGUGAUCUAUACAGAAUAUUGAGCAUUAGUCGCAGUAGCGAAGACACGGAAACAACCUAAGUGUUCACCAACAGAUGAAUGGAUGAAGCAAAUGUAGCAUAUAUACACAGUGGAAUACUAUUCAGCCUUUAAAAAGAAGGAAAUCUGGCUAACUGCAACAACAUGGAUGAACCUGGAGGAUAUUAUAUAAGUGAAAUAAGCCAGGCAUGGAAAGUUGUCUGCCCUAUUGCUCAACAAGAUAAAAUGUCUGGGCUGGUGGCUGGAGGCUGGAGGAAGAAUCUGGAAAGAGAGAGAGACUGUGGAAAAGGCAUAGAAAGACCUUUGAACUAGCAGAACAUAUUUCUUUGAGGGACUUAGGAACUUCAUUCUGCAAAUCUGUUUCCAAUGCCUGUUAAGUACAAAACACCGUGUGGACAUGUUCCUAUUCUCAAGACGUUUGCUAUACAGUAGGAAGGAGAGGAGGGCCUGCUCUCUGCCAAACACUGUCCUAGGAGUUUUGCACAAUCCAUUGAGUAUUCUCUAUAUUUUUAACAGCCCUGAGAGAGUCUGGAUCCAUUGCAGCCAUUUUGAAAUUAACAAAUAAUAAGGGAAGGCCAACAAGGACAGAUGUAUAAAAGUAUAAUGAAUCAUAACAAGAGCUUCAUCCUCCUGG